rnacentral:rRNA from 1 species
AUUGAACGCUAGCGGGAUGCUUUACACAUGCAAGUCGAACGAGUGGCGGACGGGUGAGUAAUAUAUCGGAACGUGCCCAGUAGCGGGGGAUAACUACUCGAAAGGGUGGCUAAUACCGCAUACCAUCGGAGCGGCCGAUAUUGGAUUAGCUAGUUGGUGGGGUAAAGGCUCACCAAGGCAACGAUCCGUAGCUGGUUUGAGAGGAAGACCAGCCACACUGGGACUGAGACACGGCCCAGACUCCUACGGGAGGCAGCAGUGGGGAAUUUUGGACAAUGGGGGAAACCCUGAUCCAGCCCUCCCGCGUGUAUGAGAAGGCCUUCGGGGUGUAAAGUACUUUUGGCAGGGAAGCGGUAUCUGCAGAAUAAGCACCGGCUAACUACGUGCCAGCCGCCGCGGUAAUAC